rnacentral:rRNA from 1 species
GACGAACGCUGGCGGCGUGCUUAACACAUGCAAGUCGAACGGAGAAGCUCCAGCUUUCUGUAGUGGAUCAGUGGCGAACGGGUGAGUAACACGUGAGCAACCUGCCCCUGACUCUGGGAUAAGCGCUGGAGACGGCGUCUAAUACUGGAUACGAGAAUGUUCCGCAUGUGCACUUUCUGUAAAGGUUUUCGGUUGGGGAUCGGCUCGCGGCCUAUCAGCUUGUUGGUGAGGUAAUGGCGCACCAAGGCGACGACGGGUAGCCGGCCUGAGAGGGCGACCGGCGACACUGGGACUGAGAGACGGAGCAGAAUCCUACGGGAGGCAGCAGUGGGGAAUAUUGCACAAUGGGCGAAAGCCUGAUGCAGCGACGCCGGGUGAGGGAUGACGGCCUUCGGGUUGUAAACCUAUUUCAGCAGGGAAGAAGCGAAAGUGACGGUACCUGCAGAAGAAGCACCGGCUAACUACGUG